AUGGAGGCGACCUCAAAGGUCUGCUGCUUCGAUGAUGCUCUCUAUGGCCAUGGUGGCACCGGGGAGCCAAACGUGGCCGCCAAACCAAACGGCGCUAUGUGGGAGAAGAGUUUGGCGACGAGAGUCGCUACGGGUGGUUGCCGCAAGGGGCGCAAGACCGUAGCGCCAUGGAGAUUUCAGAUUGGGUACAAGCGGCCGCGGUCACAGGGUUUAAGCCAGGACGGCGGAUCUGAUGGACUUCCUGCAGCUGGAAUUUCCAAGUCCACGGAUGGUUCCAGGCAUAUAGGAGUUGCUGCUGCUGCUUCUUUACACAACAAAACGAAGGUUGACAAGGGUGGUCGUCAUCGUGCAAUGCCAAAGAAGAGAGUCGCCAUCAGCAGAGAAAGCGCCAUGGCUUCUUUGCAGGAAUUCCGGGUAAUUUACAGGCAGCUUCUGGCCCAAGAGAAGGCCAACUGCAGGAAACAAGAGCAUGAUCUUGCAGCUUUUCAAGUCUUCAGGGAGAGGCUAUCUGUUGAAUUUGAUGAUAGGAGGUACGUGGGCAGCGUCCCUGGAGUUCAUGUUGGUGACGUGUUUGAUUCGGACGCCGAGCUUUUCCUUGUUGGUCUUCAUCGUUCACAGCAGUCGCGUGUUGAUUACAUCAACCAGAACGGGGGCAGGAUAGGUCUAGCCGUUAGCAUCGUGUUGUACGUGCAACAGUCUGCCCAAAAUAACAAUCUGGAUUUCUUGCUACAUGUUGGGUCUGUGGCUGCCACCACUGGCCAGAAGAUGGAAGGUACCGACUUGGCGCUAAAGCAGAGUAUGGAUACCAAAACACAUGUGCGUGUCAUUUAUAGGUUUGUUAUGACCGGCCGUGAGGAGCUUACACACUAUGUUUAUGGUGGUUUAUAUUUGGUCGAGAAAUUUAGCAAAGAGAAACUGAGGGAAGACAAACAUAUUAGCACUUUUCAUCUGAGAAGAUUGUCGGGGCAACCGAGCAUCAACAUUCAAUAA
rnacentral:rRNA from 1 species